rnacentral:lncRNA from 1 species
AAUUGAGCGGCUCCUGAGAGUCCCGAGCUGAUCGCGUAGCUAGUGCCUCCCGUGCGCCCGCGGGUUCCUGCGGACGCACCCCUUCCUGCGCCCGCUGGUUCCUGGUCCCUGUUCCCCCGCGCCCCCUUCCGCGCCUGGCUCCCCCCGGGGCCCCGUCCCCUCCCUCAGCCCCCACUCGCUCCCGCACCCACUCCUGCGCCCCGUUUGCCUCCCGCACCCGCUCCUGCGCCCCGUUUGCCUCCCGCACCCGCUCCUGCGCCCCGUUUGCCUCCAGCACUCGGCUCCCUCCUGCGCCCCCGCUCCCCCCGCAUCCCCUCGACCUGCAGUUCCGGGGUUCUCUGCGGAACAGAGCGCUAGCUCCCUUGAGCGGGGAGGGGACCUUGGUGUUCAGGAAGCGCCAGAGCGCCUGGGACAGCUUGUCCGCCAGGCUUGGAGGAGUUUGCCCUGCGAGCUUGGUUGUGAUGUGGGGCAGCCUAGCAGGGUGUGUGUAAAACCCUUCCCCCGUCAAGACGGGACCCAGCCAGCAUGCGUCGUGACAGCUUGGGGGAUUGGAGGUGGGUGUUAGUGGUUAGAAGAAACUUCCCAGCAGAGCGGGUUGCUGGAGCCAAGCGCGCAUCUGUCAAGAAUGCUCUCUGGGCGCUGUUCUUGCAAGGAUCCUCUGUUGAACCUCGAGUGCAGUAGAUGUGGAAAGGAAGCGAAGGUUUGUGCAUCUAACAGCUAACGCUGAGGGCCCUUUGGAAUCGUACACACUCCUCAGUCCUAGCUAAUGAACGUGUGAGCAUGAUGCAAAAAUGUAUGCUCAUGAUAUGAAAGGAGAGGCUUAGGGAGACAGAAACGUUGAGAUACAGAGUAAACGAUACCACCGCGAGGGGGAAAAAACGCGUUUAAUUACAUUUUAGACUUUUCAAUGAUAACACCUGUAUUUUGUGUUUUAUUACUCAUGUGAUUUUAUAAUUUGAGCUGGGUCAAUACAAACAAAAAGGUACUGUCAGUUUAUGCUGACGUAAUGAACUGCGAUUUCAGAUUCCUUGGUCUGCGUGCUUGUUUUCUCCUUUGCCCAAGUUCCCAGAUUCUCAAAACUCUGAGAUUAGUUUUGAAGGGAUGAGACAAGAAAACAUAUAAAUACUCCAGAGGAUUAAAAUCCAAAAGCAUUUAAAGUUGUAUCUGUGGUUUUUUUUUUUUUUUUUUUUGAGUUGGCAAAUGAAUUGCUUUGAAAUUAGUGAGUUGUUAACCUGGCAAAAAGGAUUAUACUGGGGGUGAGGGGACAAGAAAGCCAUGAAUAUGCAAUAUGGCAGGACUGCAAGCCCCUUCUCUAAUUUGGCUCCUGUAGUGUCCUCAGCUCAGGCCUGAAAUAAAAAAAAAAAUAAAAAAAUUAAAAAAAUCUCUAAUUGAGUCCUUGAGGAGUAAACAGCUUCUAAUUGUUUAUGUAAGGGUGCAUGAAAAUGUUAUAUAAUGCUCACAGGUCCUUCUAGCAUUGGAAUAAGAACAGCGCCCGUAACGAACAUCAUGUUCGUUGAUGGUCAUCAAUAUGACCAAGCUCAUAUCCUUACCUUGCAAGGAGAGACCGACUUCCACAGCUGUCCAGGUCAAAAGCAAAAAGUAAUGUUUUUCAAGUUUAUAUAAAAUCAAGCAGUUUUAACCACUUUCUCUUACAUAAAUGCAAACAUAUGAAUUUGCUUUAGGCCCAAACCUCAGCAUCAGUAUGUUAAAACUGGGGAGUGAUUUGUUUAUUCACCCCCUGCCCAUGAUUUAUCAGCUGAUUUUCCAACUUGGGGAGGUUGAGGAGGAGUGGCCAGGAAACAAGAGGCGUUAGAAAGGGGAGGAAGGAGACUACACCCCAAGUUAUCCAAGUCACUGAAAGCCUGAGACUCCUGGCUUCUUUCUUUUUAUUUUUUUGAGACAGAGUUUCACUUUUGUUGCCCAGGCUGGAGUUCAGUGGCGUGAUCUUGGCCCACUGCAACCUCUGCCUCCCGGGUUCAAGUGAUUCUCCUGCCUCAGCCUGUCAAGUAGCUGGGAUUACAGGCGUGUGCCGCCACACACGGCUAAUUUUGUAUUUUUAGUGGAGAUGGCGUUUUACCAUGUUGGUCAGGCUGGUCUCGAACUCCUGACCUCAGGUGAUCCACCCACCUUGGCCUCCCAAAGUGCUGGGAUUAGAGGCAUGAGCCACUGUCCCCGGCCUCCUGGCUUCCUUCUGGACCCACAAGGGGCAGUCUCAAAAUAGCCAAGGGAUUGGAAGAAGUUGAAAUUGACGCUGCCCAGGAAAGGAGUUCUGAGUGCUGAGCUGCAGGGUGAGGCAUAGGGAAUGUGGGGAAGAGGCUUUUCCUUGCCAUCUUUCUGUCAAGUGGUGUUACCGGAAUAGAGUGUGUCAACCUUAAAUGCCCCCGAAGGGUGGAAGGCAUUGCUUUUCUGUGUGCGAUAAGGCCAGAACUUGGUCGUAGAGGUUCAGGGCAGAAGCCAGAUUGCCAGUAACUUUGCCGUAUCAUCAUUAUAUAUAUAAACACAUCGUGACAUUGGAAUUGUUGGAAAACUUUCCUGAAACUUUUUUUCUCUGCUCAUUCAGAGAUACAUCAAGUUUCUCCGAAUUUCUGUAUAAUACAUUAAAUUAUAAACCCUCGAAACCAGAAGGUUAUUCUAGCAGGAGUACCAGUACAGGGAUCUCAGGAAUUCUGGGGGAUUUCCUUCAAUUUUACUGACAGAAGAGUUUGGAAUAGUACAUGUUCAACUAGAGUUGGUUGUCUAAUAAAAAUAAAAUGUUCUCAGAACUCCUUUAAUUCCUACAUUUUAUGAUUGGUGUUUUUUUUUUUUAACUUUUUUUUUAGCCUAACACUUUUUAUUCUUAGGUAAGGAUACAAGAUCAAGAAGAAAAGGUUCAACGUAUCAACUUUUACAGGUAUCGGAUAUUGUAAGUUAAAUAAAACUCCUUCAUUUCUUCAUUCUUCACUUGGCAACUGUUAAAGAGAGUCAGUUCUAAAAACCCAUAUAUUUCACAAUGCUUUGGAAAAUGACAGAAAGCUCCAACAAUGAGGGCUGAUCAGCACACUUGAGAGGUCGUGCACUUCUUCCACAGAGUUCCUAUCUCAACUUCUUCCUUUCCCAUCCCCCCACCUUCACCCCACACCGGGACUUGCCAUGGGUUCUAUUUGAUCUCCCUGUCUCUGGUCCUCCCUGCUCCAUUUAAUCUGGCAUAUCAUAACCAAAGGAGUAUUUCCAAAAUGCUGCUUUGACCAAGAUGCUUUUCUGUUCAGCAACCUUACCUCUUCAAUUUAACAUUCACAGUUCUCCCCGGUCCAAUUCUAAAUGGCCUUUCCAGCCCUAUUUCAUAUUAGAACUCUCCUUAUCACCAUAACUUGCAUUUCUGUAUUCUUUUUCCUUUUGGGGAUCCAUACUCCUUCCUUUUGUACAUCUAUACUUUCUCACUGGGUUCCCUCCACCAAAACCUCCUCCUGCUUCCCAGCGAAUUCAGCCUUGGAGAUGUGGCUGGACUCUUUAUCUUCUCUGCCCACUGCUUCUGAAAAUGAUCUCUCCUUCCUCUGACCUAUAGUAGUGACUCUGCCAAUUUCAUUUCAGGUGGCAAUUUACAAUAGGUUGCCUUUUGAUACUUCUUAUGUUG